CCGCCGGGCCACCCAGCCGAGGCCGUGGGCGGUCGGCCUCGGUGCCGGGCGCCCCCGACGGCCGGACUGGGAGGCGCCGUGGGUUUGGAGGUCCCCGCACCGCCUGGAGCUCGGCGCCCCAACACCGCGGGCCUCCGGACCGACUGUGGCGGGAGCACCGUGCCUUCCCAGGCUCGGCGGCCUCGAGGGUCGCGGGGCCCCGGGGCCUCUGUGCCGGUGGCCUGGGCAAGCCGCUGGCCCCAGAGCGGAACGCUGGCCGCGGACCGAGUUGGCCCCGCGCGACCACAGAUCCACACGGGUCAAGGCCCUGUCCUCCCCACGGCCUCCCCUGCAAGCCCAGCCAGCUCUGUCCCCCGUGCGGUUCCGAGUGCCGAGGACCUCUGCGAGCCGCGUUUCUCCAUGCACACCGCGAGGCACCCAGGCAGUAGCGCGAGGAAAGUGAGCUAAGGACGAGGCGGACUGACCCCACCGUGAACGUCCGCCGUGAACCGGGGGUCGGUCCUGCGAUCUUGGUGAAUAGGACCACCUCGUUUUCUCAUCUCCAAAGUGGGGCUAACUUGACGUAGAUAGACUUGAAGAUACGAUCCACUUAUAUUUGCAAGAAUGCACCCCAGCUCAGAAGUGUUGGCGACAUCGGGGAGGGGUGCAGGUUUGGAAAAGGUUUUCCCAUUUUACUCUGUACGUUUGGGUUUUUUAACCACAUGCAUUGUCAAUGUAUUCAGGUUAAAAAGGAAGCCAUUCUUCAGGCCUUGGCAUGAAGCUGUUGAGCAGUCUGGAUCGUUCCACAGCCCGCCCGAGAAGAGCGCCUCUUUGGUUUAAUUGACCUUGAGCCACCCUCGAGUCCAUUCUCGGAGUCUGGAGCCAGGAGGACCCCAUCUGCUCUGCAGCCUGCCAGGGACCUGUCAUCAGCAGCUGACUCUAUUCCCUGGCUGUGGCCCCAGAUUACUAGGGAUCUGAACACCAAGAGGGGCUAGUCGCUGCCCACUGACGGAUGACUGAGAACAGGUGGGUCCUGAACGCCAGCCAGAGCCUAUUUGUGGUGAGGCAAAGCCAAUCCAAGCCAAGAUUCUGGAAACACUCAAGAGAACAUUCCUACCUCCAUUUCUAUCUGCUGGGAAGGCUGGGCACAGGAAACAGGCAGAACAAGGAAGGAAUUCUGGUUGUGGCUCACCGCAUCUGGGGCUGAUCUACACUGGAUCUCCUUAAACCCUGUCCCUCUUCCCCACCAUGUCUCCUACCCUCCAGGAUCUUGAGAAGAUUCCAACCAAGCACCUCCUUUGAGUCCUUGACAAGACAGCUAAAGUGAGAAGACAGCUAUUUAACGCCUUUUUUCAAUAGCUUUUCAUUAUAUUUAGAAUAAAAUAAAACAUAAAUUCUUUUUGUUUGUUUAUCUGUGGUGCUGCGGAUCAAACUCAGGGCCUCACUUGUUAAAAACAUGCUCUGUCAUUGAGCUUCGCUCCCAGCCCCAUCCCUAAUGAUGCUUCGGGUUUUGUUUUGGUAUUUGUUUCCUUGUGUUACUGGG